UUUAGUGAGUAGCAUCAAAAAUAUGUAUACAUAUGAUGCAAUUCUCAUUUGAUAUUAGCCAUGAUAUUUUUACUUUUCUUACUGGCAAAGAAUACUGAAAUAAUAAACAUUUUUAAAAAAAUAUCAGCAUGUUAUCUAGUGUCUUCCUGAAUCUUCUGGCAACAUCCUACACUAAUAACUCCUUGUUGCAAGAGCCCUGUGUCUACUCACUGUGUGCUUUGGGAGGAAGCUGUGCACCCGUGGCUUUCUGGUCUCUGGAGCUCAGCCACAGUGGUACUUUCUUGAAGUCAGACAGACCUGGCAAGCUCCCUGGUAAGCUCUUCCUGCGUAGAGUGGUUCUGAGU